GUUCAAGCUGCAGACAGAUGUGGAAAUGCUUUCCUGUUAAGCAUGUGAGACCUACAGCAGACACACUCAGGGAAUCAGAGGAGCUGAGAGAUCAUGGCUUCUUUGAAAACCAUAGAGAAACUAUACCAGCAGACUUUAGUGAUAGCACACCUCCCUCAGGUGGAAGCCUGGUUGACAUGGGUCCUCCUGGCCCUAUCCUAGGGGGGUAUUGAUUGACAGGUGGGGCACAAGGGCUUGCACUAAUCAUCACCUUACUCUGGACAUAAACCCUGCCAACUGUUCUUGAAUCUGUGUCACACACAACUACUGUGAGAAUAUGACUCAUUUUAUUCACUUUUGUGUUCCUCCAUAAGUGUAUCUGCAAAUGAAUUGUAUGAAAACCUUUAUAUAAAUAUGUUCACAUGGUUUUAAAAAAAUUCUUUGUCAGCCAGCAAGGACUAUAUUUGGGCUCAAACUCCCUGCUUAAUUGCAAUUAUAUUUAGACAGUGGAUAAAGACCCUGACACUAAGGCUGCCCUCGAUACUGGAGGCUGAAGAAGGAAGAGUGAAAGAG
rnacentral:lncRNA from 1 species